AAGUCUAAACUGGCAUGGAGGAAUAUAUUUUGAUAUACUUCUUCAAUUCUCGAAUGGAUUAUUCCCACACAUCUCAUUUGAUGAUACGGAUGUAUCUACACCUCUAUUCCAUUCAUCAAAUAGGAAGACUGACUUUUGACCCUUAGAUCCCCUUCCUCUAACUCAAAUCUAACUAUGUGAAGCUUCUAAAUAUAAAAAUUUAAAGCUAAAUGAGCGACAACGAGCUUAGCUACUUAACUUACUUGCUAUAAUGGCU
rnacentral:lncRNA from 1 species